rnacentral:lncRNA from 1 species
UAGCAAUCCAAGAGAACAUCACCACCCCAAGAAAAAUCAAAAUUCAAUUAAGAAAUGGUUUGAAAAAUUCAUUGGCGCAUAACCAAGAUCCAGCAUGCUUUUCAUACAAAUCUUUUCAUACCAAACAAUGAAUAUGCUGACUAAAUGCCAUUUUGUUCAGUUUCAUUAUUUAACAUGAACCACUACUAAUUUCAAACUCAUGCAUGAAAUGAUAACCUACCAACCGAACAGGACCAAAUGAGACCCAAAAUUCAAGGCUUAAUAGUUCCAAAUGAGACAAGCAUCAGGACCAUUUCUGCUUUUACUCUUGUGACCCAAACACAGCAGUAGGCCUCAUUGCUUGAAAAUCAACACAACACUACCCUACAGCCCAUAGAUUGGUCCCUAAUUCUAUCCAUAUCUCAAUAGCAAUGAAAGUUAUACAACAGAAAAUGAAGAUUGUAGCUUGAAACAGAGAUAAGAUUUAACUUUAGCGUUGUAGUUUCCAUAAUCAGAAGGGUGAACAAGUCAACUAUACUACAAGAGAUUUAAACAUUAUACUCCCAUCCAAACAAACGAACUCCAGCUAACUUACAAACCCAAACUUGCUAAAUUAUGACACCGGGCUAUCUUAUAAAUGAGAUUCAAACCAGAAAUAUAAAUGAACAACCAAAACAUGUAAAGAAGGCAUAAACUACAUAGAAAUCACAAGAUUUUUGAAGGACAAAAGCUGAAUUUCAACAUUUAUCAUUAGUCUUCCAUGUUGAACAUAUAUUUGCACUUCACAUGCGAUUCAGGAUAUAAGAAGUACCUAGAUAUUGAAAGAACAAAUACAAGGGUAAGGAAUUCAGCAGUAGCAGUAGCAGUCAAUAACACAAAGCAGAGAUAACCAAGAGGAAAAAGAACUUUAAAACCAAGCUUUAAACCCAAUCGACUAGAGCUUCAAAUCAGACCCUUUUGACCACUAUCCUUAAACCAUUUCAGCUUUAUUUAGAUUCGAAUUUGUUCUUAGAAGCUGGAAAAUUAAGAAAUCCACAGAUAAGACCCAAUGUAACAGUAUUUUCACUGAUGUUUAGCCGCUAUGAUUUUCUUGUAUUUUCAGCUCUUCCCCUAUUCUCUAUCUCUUUGUAAUUUCUAUCUUUCUAUCUCUCUAUAUUCUUCAGUAUUCAGCCUUUAAAUAGGCACUAAUUCUAGUGCCUUCCCCAUUACCAAUCCCAUUUCCCCAUUUUUAAUUAACUCCACUAAAUCUUUUAGUGCACUUCUAACCCUACCACUAUUAGAAGCUUCUUAAGUAGGUGAAUACCCCUUUUUUAUUAAACAAUUUUCAAACUACCUCUGAAACCAAAACCAAAAAUGGGUCAAAUUGACCCAAUUCAGAGCCCAUAAGUCUGUAAUCCCCAUUGAUUCUCCUCUUGGGCUUUUGAUUUUUUUUUUUUAGAAAUCCAAUUCAAACAAAACAGAAACCCAGAAUUUUAAGAACUAAUUGAACUGAGAAUUUAAACUAAUAAUAAAAAAACAAGAACCUUUUACAAAGAAAUAGGGGCGAAGGACCAGAUGAUGAUGAACUAAAUAAUAGAACCUAAUAAUGCUAUUAAGCUAAUCAUGCAGCACGGACAGACUGAUAGGUGAGCCUAUAAUGAAGAGAAGAAAUACAGAUAGACUAAAAUGAAAUCAAAAAAAUGAAAAAAAAUCAUGCAAGACCAGUUAAAUGAAUAAGAAUACCUAGCAAGGACGGCCAGCUUUGAAUUUCUUCUUCAAACUCUCGAUUUUGACCGAAAGAGGUCUCAAUCACGUGUUCUCAGAUGAAAACACAUGACCGAGGUCCGUUUUGGUCUUAAUCAUCACCAAAUCUACCGAUUCUGGAGUUUUGACAUUUUUAGGUCUUAUCUUCGAUCUAAAAUUCGACGAGUUCGGGGAAUAUUCCAGGGAAAAGAGUCAUGGAUUUGGAAAGAGGGGAACGAGGGGGUUCUAGUGUGUUAUUUUGGUGGUGAACGGAGGUGGUGCCGCCACCCUAAGGCGGUGGGAAUGGUGGUGGCGCUAGGGUUUGAGGGUUGGUCUCUGAGAGAGAGAGGGGUGUGAGAGAGAGACGAUGCAAAGGGGGAGGG